rnacentral:rRNA from 2 species
UGAGCUUGAUCCUGGCUCAGGACGAACGCUGGCGGUAUGCCUAAUACAUGCAAGUCGAACGCUGAAGCACUCUGCUUGCAGAGUGUGGAUGAGUGGCGAACGGGUGAGUAACACGUGGGGAACCUGCCCAUAAGAGGGGGAUAACAUCCGGAAACGGGUGCUAAUACCGCAUAGGUGAUCAUAGCGCAUGCUUAGAUCAUUAAAGAUGGCUUCGGCUAUCGCUUAUGGAUGGCCCCGCGGCGUAUUAGCUAGUUGGUGAGGUAAUGGCUCACCAAGGCUGUGAUACGUAGCCGACCUGAGAGGGUGAUCGGCCACACUGGAACUGAGACACGGUCCAGACUCCUACGGGAGGCAGCAGUAGGGAAUCUUCCACAAUGGGCGAAAGCCUGAUGGAGCAAUACCGCGUGAGUGAAGAAGGUCUUCGGAUCGUAAAGCUCUGUUGUUAGAGAAGAACAAGAGGUGUAGUAACUGGCACCUCCUUGACGGUAUCUAACCAGA